CGACGAUAGGUAGAUAAACAAGGGAACCAACUUUUGUAAUUUAUUUGCAGAUGGAAACUAUAAGAAUGCUGGCUAUUAUGCUGCUAAUUAUGACUAAUGGUACAGCUGUAUUGCUGCCCAUAGGAGCUGAAUGUUCCCAGGGUAUGCGAUUUCUACACAGUUCCUGUAAUCAGAGUGCAAGAGCAUCUCCCCUCUCUGUACUCACCAUAUCCGAGCACAACAUUAUGUUAACUAAAUCAACUAGCUUAAAAAAAAUCUGAGGAGGAGGAAUUGCUCCAAAACUUAAGUAUUGAAGAAUAUACUCAAAUAAGGCAAGGUGCGCUCUGCGACCCGGCGGACUCAGAGGAGAGCGAUCAACCCGAUCAGUGCUCUUUCCUGGGAACUGGCCGAGGGCAUGCCUGUCGCUGUGAGAGAAGACCUUGAAAUUAAUUUUCUUCUCUUCUCUCCCUCCUCCCUUCUCUAUGUUCGUACAGUAAACAUAAUAUGAAAUUUUUGUAUACAAUUC
rnacentral:lncRNA from 1 species